rnacentral:lncRNA from 1 species
UGUGGACAGCCUACACCAAGGGAAGAGUCAGGGGAGAAGGAACACAAGACUCCGGAAGCAUGCCAGCGUAUAAAACCGUCAGGAGCAAUGGCUGACGCCUGUAAUCCCAGCAUUUUGGGGGCCUAAUCGGGCAGAUUGCUUGAUGCCAGGAGUUCGAGACCAGCCUGGCCAACACGACACUUUGCCUCAUUGGUUCGUGCCUCAGCUUCCAAUCUGGACAUGGAGCACAAUAACAGUGGGCCCACUGCUCUCCGAAUUCCUGCGCGCACUUGAAGGGAGUGUCUGGUGCAGGCAUGCAGGGAGGAAGAAUGACUCUGAGCUUGACCAUUCAACUUCGAAACUUUAACAUCAAUGGAUCAGCACACACUGGUGUACGGUCUGCUAUGCAUGCAGCCCUGUGCUAGGCAAAAGAAGUAUCAGACCAGGAACUGACAGCCUCACUGCAACAGGAAGAGAGGCUUCACACAAUAAGCGUUUCAUUCAACCAGGCUGGACCUGUGCUUAUUGAGUUGAACAUCACUGAGCACAAAAUGCAAGCCAGACACCAUAAGAGCUGUAAGGAUGAUAAAGAUGUCUUUCUACCCUCGAGAGCUCUAAGUGUGGUCAGGAGAGAAACACAUGCAAAGAUUAUGCUGGCUGGAAGGAAAUGCUGGAAUGAAGGUGGAAGGUACAUCCAGAAUGUUCUGGGGGUGAGGAAUAGCGAAUGAUGGGUUCUGACUUAGAACAUGAAGGGAAGGUAUUAAGAAAGAGGUGAUAUUAAGCAUUUAUUGAGCAUCUCUACUUUUUUUGUGUAUGUGACCUUGUUUGGAAAUACAAUAUCUCUUCUUGAUGCUGGCAA